UUAACUGUGACCGUCAAGGCUUUUUAGAAUUCCUAGGGUUUUGAACAAGUUAACCUCUCCCCAAAAUUGACCGUCACGUUCCAUAUCUCCCAACAGGGCUUAGCAAUUCGCGGCUAUUUGAUUUUGAAGAACUGAUCCUACUUUCGUGAUUGCCAUAAAUACAGUUUUGGAUUGUGGUGAGAAGAUCAAGUUACUUGUUGACAAGACAGAAACCUUCAAUUUCAGGUUUGAAGCUUUCAAUGUAAUGAGAACGUAUGGGAAUUUCUUGUUGAGUUGAAAGUAGAUUGAAAAGCUGAACUUGGCUGUGAAGAAGAAGAUCAUCAAGCAAAAAGGAAAAAGAGGAAGACCAAGAAAGGUUAAAUGGGGUGAAAGUGAGGUUGUUGGCCGAAAAAGAUAAGGUGGAUAAAGAAGCUAUGCUCAAUAAGAUGACACAAAUUGAAGAUAUGUUAACAGCUACGGUUCGAAGAUAGGCUAUAAACACUAGGUUUUGAAUGUUGAGAUGUUUAUCAUAUAGGAUAAUUACGGUUAUUUGAUGUUUAGUUGAUAUUUUUAUUAGAAUGUUUUAUAUGAUUUUCAAAUAGGAAAAACUAAAUCAGAGAUGUUUUAUAUAGUUUUUGGGGUUUGUAAUUUUAUUAGAGUGUUUAAUACA